AAAACCGACCUCAGUACUGCUGUGGAACAAUGGGAAAUGGUGUGUCAGUUGUGAAAUGCCACACUGAUACUAGUGGGUGCCAUUUGGAAUAUAGUGAGCAUUUACCCCUCUCCUUUCCCAUCUUCCAUAACAAGAAACUGGUUCUCUCCCUCUCUCCUCUUUGGAAAAUUAUUCCUGCUAAGCAUGGGCACCUCUGACAGCAAAACCUCCAAUUACCAGCCUCUCCAGUAAUAAAAUGCAUGCCAGCCACUUCCUGUUUUCCCCUUUUGUAAGUAGAUCACUGCUGCCAGAACCUCUCAAGGCCAUACCUCUGAUGCCUCCUCAGGCCAACCACACCAUGGCCCUCUCCAGUUCUCUCUCUCUGCUCCAGUGAGCAGCCCAGGGCCACUCUGAGCAGGCUGGCUUGCAAGGCUGCUGCUGGGAUAGGAGCAGGCAGAAGACAUGGUGACACAGAACAAGGAUGCCUGUUUGAUGGGUCCUGAUGGAAGACCCACCUCUGACCCCAGAAUUAACCCUCUUCUCAGCCAUCACUGAAACUUUAUCUUUCUUAUCUUCAACUUCCUCAUGGGUAAAAUGAGAAGCUUGGGUUAGAGGAUUUCUAAGGCUUUUCUAGUGCUAUGGUAUUUGGAAGGAUCCAGCCAAUCCAGGCAGGCUGAUGUGUCUGUUCCAUGAUCAUCUUCUUCAGAGAGGCAGAGGGAAAGUCAGGACUCAUUCCCCAGAGCAAAGGUGGAGCACCAACCCUCAAAAUCCUACUGUAUCCCACUCUGCAGUAACUGCUUCAAGUUGCUUUAAUGUCAUCCUGGUAGAAAAUAUUAGACCAGUAUUGUCAUUUCCAUUAAAAAAAGAUGGGAUCUCUUUGAUUUGAAGUGGUUAACCUCAUGAGAGGGAGGGAGGAUUACUUGUAAAUGCCAGUCUUUCUGACUCCAAAGCCCAGGCUGACAGGUGACCAAGGAAGUGCCCCAUAAAGAACUGCAGACACCGUGGCCUCACUCGUGUUUUCCGCCCAGUUGGCAGUCAUUUCCUUUACUCAUGCACUGCCUCAUUUAAUAUCCACAAGCGCACACGUGGGAAUGCAGGUGGCCCCCUGCUGACAAGGAGAAGACUGACUUUCCUACAGUCACUUGGCUGGUAAACGAGAGGGCUGGGACUGGAAUCCUGAUAUCCAAAUCACCGCAGUUGGAAAAGAAGCAACUCCAAGAACCGGCUGCUGUCUCCAACUCCCCAAUUCACAGCCAGUGCCACUGAGGCAUGAGGACCAUUCCAAUAAAGAUGGCUUUUUACAAGUUGUCAUGAGGAAUAAAACAAAAACUGACUUUUGAAAGACCUCCCGGAGAGCAAGAGGGAAAAACAGACAGCAAACCAACCUCUCUAUUUCAAAAUCUUCUCAAGACUUUUGUGGUGAAUAAUCCAUUUCCAGAAUCAAAUACAUUAUGAUUUGAGAUGAUGUCACCCUGCUGUUCCACAGAAGCAAAGCCCUGAACAACCCUCGGAGACUUCCACUUCUCAGGUUCUCCUGUCCCUGGGAACCAUCGGAGCUUGUCUUGGUUCUCCUCCUAGAUGCCGUUGGCUUUCCUCAAGUUUGUCUUGGUUGUCUGUCUUCAUGGAACAAAAUCAGACUGACUGAUCUGAGGAGUGUGCCGUGGGUUCCUCUGCAUAAAGAAAGAUUUGACUACGGAUUUAUUGUUGCAUUUCUGAAGCCCUGAGAUUUUGUGCUGAGGUCUUCUGGGACCCCUGAUCAUGGCUCUCCUUAGAGUUUUCGGUGGACACAACAUCUUUGUAUGUGGUGCUGAAGAUUGAACCCAGGCCGCCUGACCGCUUGAGCCACAUCCCCAGCCCUGGCUGAUACCUGGUUCCAGGAGCCUGACAUGUUCUUCUGUGCUUGGCACCUCGCACAGCCCCAGAUUGCAAAUCUGGAAUGAAUGUUCUUUCCUGUCACCAAUGUUGUAACUCCCCGGAAGGAUCCUGGACUUUCUCCAGGAGGCCUGAAGCCAGCAGCUGAAUCCCAAAGUCCCUACCUCCCCUUCUCACCAGAGCCGUUCACAAGACUUCCCUGCAGGGGCCGGUAGGCACCUUGCUGUAUGUAGCCAAGCUGUAAAUGAGUGAACAAUAUAAAAAUAAUAAUAAAUUGAACUCAGUGGGAGAGAGGUGGGUGGUGUUGGGCCUGUGUUUACCUAAGGUGGGUCUGGGGAAAACUUCAUGGACUGGUCAGGCUUUUGAGAUUUGUUUUAAACGUGGCUGGAAAAGGUGAGAACAAACUGAAGGAAGAACUGGGCACAAGUCCCUGGCACCCUCUGAAAGUCCUCAUGACUCUCUGGGUACACUGCGUACAGCAUCCUGGUAGGACUGGCCAGGACUCAGCGCUUCUAACACCAACAACUGUUGAAUUUGUGGGCUCUUUGGCUCAGAAAGCUCAUCUUGCAGCAUCUUCUGACACAUAAUUACUGAACAUCCACCAAGAGCCAGCUGCUGGGUGCACUGGGGACACACAGAAGUGUCUAUCCAGUAGGAACCUGACAAUCUAGACAACUGUCCCACCCCACCCCAUGCAUCUGCUCCCCCUGUGAUAGUGAACCCACAGUUUGGAGAUGAGACUGGAUUUCCCGCUGGCAGGUUCUUGUCUUGUGAAUUGGAAGAAUGAAAUCCACAGACCAGGAUGAGCUAAAGUGUGUAAGAGCCAGUGAAGAAGGCAGCACUGGGGGCUAGAUCUGAAGAUGCAAGAGAGGAUCCGACAUGGUCCUGGCCCUCAUCUUCCUGCUUUCCCAUGAGGGAGACCCACGCUACAGGGCCCUGUGGUAGGAAGAAGCUGUUGUGUUCUAAUCUACAUCAGUGCUUCCCAAACUUCCGUCUGCUUAUCUAUCACCUGGGGAUGGUGUUGGACUCCUGGUUCUGAGUCGUGUGCCCAGCCUUCCAGAAUCCUGAGAGGACCUGAAGUACUGCAGUGGAAGAGAUUUUCUCAUACUUUAUUAACUGUUAAAAACAUCAUUUACUUGGAAGAAGCAAUUUGAAGAGCCAAGGAUGGGUCCAGGGAAAGAUGUAACUUUCUGAGCUUUCACUCUGUGGAUUGGGACAGACCUUUUUCUGAGUGACAGAGCUGUAUCCUUGUAAGUACUACUGAAAGGGUGGACUCACUAGUUCAAAUGCUUUUCAUUGACACCAUUUUUUAACCAUUAUUAUUUUUUUUCAACUGUAACAAAAUUAUUGAUUUAAAAAAUUUGCAGGGCUGUGGUUUUCUAUUAAGAGAAAAAAGGGCAACUAUGUUUCAUCAGGUACUGUCUCAGUGUUCUCUAAAACAGAUGUCAUAUAUAUGCAAGCAGAGCCACACUUUGCUACAAAGACACACAGUGCUUUCCCUGGUCUGUCUAGUAAAAGCUAUAGUAUGUCUAGGGGUGGGAAAAUGUAGUGUGCUUCUUUCUCAUUUUUGCAGACUCUCUGGAGGCUCAGGAGCUCAAAGUCAUGAAGGAGGCUCAGGAUCAUCAGGGGUCAUGGACAGGCCUCUUGAUGUCUAUUUAGUGUGAGCGUUCAUACCCACUACAUGUGUGGAUUUAACCACAACAUAUGUUGCAUUUUACUGUUCAAUAUCUUUGUUUCUCAGCCACCUGGUUUCAAAUUUGUGAUCUCUGCAUUUGAUGUAGAAAGCUAAGAUGUUUCAUGCAGGACAUUUCAAAAGCCAGAAACUGAUGCCUGAAGUGUGACAAAACCAUCUUUUUAUGGACAUGAAAUCCUGAGUAAAAUUUUUUAACUAACUACAAAGCAAAAGACAUUGAUUUCUGGGUGCAGGGAUGCAUGCCUUGUAUCCAAGCAGUGCAUGAGCCUGAAGCAGGAUAAUCACAAGUUUAAAUCCAGUCUUAGUAGUAAAAGUGAUACCCUAAGCAACUCAGUGAAAUUGUGUCUCUAAAUAAAUACAAAAUAGGGCUGGGAUGUGGCUUAGGGGUUGAAUGCCCCUGAAUUCAAUCCUCGGUAUACAACCAAAACAAAAUUAAAUAAAUAAGACAUCGACAUAGGACCAUGCUGUCCAGCUGAGAUUAUGGGGAAUAUAUUGAUGUGACCAUAGACUUCAGGCAUAAGAUAAUUUUAUUAAUGUGUUGGUUUGGUACAAAUAGGCCUGUAAGUCCAGAUAUAGCUUUUGAAAAAAAAAUGAUUUGAUUUCAAUCAAUACAGAGAAACUGAGGAAAGUACAAUUGAACCUGGAGAGGUCCACAGAAGGAAAGAAGGUGAAGCAUCCAAUCAUGCUUCCUGCCCACUUCCAUGGGCUAAUGAGUAAUGGCCAUUUGGGCAAGGGUUGAAAUUUUAUGGAGUCAGUGCUGCAGAGCUAUUUCUGGGCAAUUGUAAUUGUUCUUCCCAGUAUGAAGUUUCUGGUGACCAAUGAGGUUUGAUCUUACAGGAAAUGACUUUUAAGUCUAUGCAUUUGUGAGAAUUGUUGCAAGUAUGAAUGAUCUGUUUCUUGUUAACACUUGAAGCAUACUUAAAAUAUGCCACAUUCUUAACACUUACAUGGCUCUUAUCCAGUAUAAAUAUUUGGUGAACAACAAUACUUUUCCUAAUAGAAUAGCUUUGCCACAUUCUUUGCAUUUGUAUAGUUUCUCCCCAGCAUGAAUUUUCUGGUGUUGAGAAAUGUGUGAUCUUUGAUAAAGAGCUUUGCCACAUUCUUUAAACUUGUAUGGACUUUUCCUAGUAUUAAUUCUCUUGUGUCAAAUACGUUAUAUUUGAUUAGGCUUUGCCACAUUCUCCAAAUUUGUAUGGCUUUUCUCCCAUAAGAAGUCUCUGGUGUUGACUAAGGAGUGACCUUCAAUUAGAAGCUUUGCUACAUUAUAGAUAUUUGUAUGGUUUCUCCCUAGUAUCAAUUCUCUGGUAUUGAGUAAGGCAUGAUUUUCGAUUCAAAGCUUUGCCACAUUCUUUACAUUUGUAUGCCAUUUCUCCACUAUGAAGCCUCCGGUGUCGAGUAAGGUGUGAUUUUUUUGAUUAAAAGCUUUGCCACAUUCUUUAUAUUUCUAUGGAUUUUCUCCAGUAUGAAUACUCUGGUGUUGAUUAAGGCAUGAUUUUUUUAUUAAAAACGUUGCCACUUUUCUUCACAUUUGUAUGCCAUUUCUCCAGUAUGAACUCUCUGCUGUGGAAUAAGUUGUGACUUUCGAUUAAAAGCUUUGCCACAUUCUUUA